UACGAAGGGGGCUAGCGUUGCUCGGAAUCACUGGGCGUAAAGGGUGCGUAGGCGGGUCUUUAAGUCAGGGGUGAAAUCCUGGAGCUCAACUCCAGAACUGCCUUUGAUACUGAAGAUCUUGAGUUCGGGAGAGGUGAGUGGAACUGCGAGUGUAGAGGUGAAAUUCGUAGAUAUUCGCAAGAACACCAGUGGCGAAGGCGGCUCACUGGCCCGAUACUGACGCUGGAGGCACGAAAGCGUGGGGAGCAAACAGG
rnacentral:rRNA from 1 species